CCCACCGUUGAAACGGUGGGCUAUUCUCACCUGUCCCUCCGGGACA
rfam:Bacterium TASB270 DNA, scaffold: TASB270_scaffold_2.